ensembl:snRNA U6 U6 spliceosomal RNA
GCACAAACAGCAUGUGUAUUAAAAUUGGAACAAUACAGAGAAGGCUGGCAUGGCCUCUGCACAGGAUGACACACAGAUCUGUGAAGCAUUGCAUAUUUAA